rnacentral:siRNA from 1 species
UGGCGUAAUAACUAUUUUGAGCGG